rnacentral:rRNA from 1 species
UGGGGAAUAUUGCACAAUGGGCGCAAGCCUGAUGCAGCCAUGCCGCGUGUAUGAAGAAGGCCUUCGGGUUGUAAAGUACUUUCAGUCGGGAGGAAGGUGGUAAGGUUAAUAACCUUAUCAAUUGACGUUACCGACAGAAGAAGCACCGGCUAACUCCGUGCCAGCAGCCGCGGUAAUACGGAGGGUGCAAGCGUUAAUCGGAAUUACUGGGCGUAAAGCGCACGCAGGCGGUUGAUUGAGUCAGAUGUGAAAUCCCCGGGCUUAACCCGGGAAUUGCAUCUGAUACUGGUCAGCUAGAGUCUUGUAGAGGGGGGUAGAAUUCCAUGUGUAGCGGUGAAAUGCGUAGAUAUAUGGAGGAACACCAGUGGCGAAGGCGGCUCUCUGGUCUGUAACUGACGCUGAGGCUCGAAAGCGUGGGGAGCAAACAGG